rnacentral:rRNA from 1 species
UACGAAGGGGGCUAGCGUUGCUCGGAAUCACUGGGCGUAAAGCGCACGUAGGCGGAUUGUUAAGUCAGGGGUGAAAUCCUGGAGCUCAACUCCAGAACUGCCUUUGAUACUGGCGAUCUUGAGUCCGGAAGAGGUGAGUGGAACUCCGAGUGUAGAGGUGAAAUUCGUAGAUAUUCGGAAGAACACCAGUGGCGAAGGCGGCUCACUGGUCCGGUACUGACGCUGAGGUGCGAAAGCGUGGGGAGCGAACAGG